rnacentral:rRNA from 1 species
UGGUGGAGUGAUUUGUCUGCUUAAUUGCGAUAACGAACGAGACCUUAACCUGCUAAAUAGCCUGUAUUGCUUUGGCAGUACGCUGGCUUCUUAGAGGGACUAUCGGCUCAAGCCGAUGGAAGUUUGAGGCAAUAACA